rnacentral:misc_RNA from 1 species
GAUGAAGAACGUAGCAAAAUGCGAUAAGUAAUGUGAAUUGCAGAAUUCAGUGAAUCAUCGAAUCUUUGAACGCACCUUGCGCUCCCUGGUAUUCCGGGGAGCACGCCUGUUCGAGUGUCGCGAAAUUCUUCAAGCCUUGGAUGGAUUUUUUUUUGUCUGUCCUUGGGCUUGGUUGUUGGGCUCUGCCGUGUCCUUCAUUGGGACGGCUGGCCUUAAAAGCAUUAGCCGAUCCUCGUGUGGUACUGGUUCUACUCAGCGUGAUAACAAUCUGAUCGUUGAGGACAUCUUCUGGAUGGCCAGUCAUCAUUUGGGUUGCUUCUAAACCGGUUUCGCAGAUUGCUCAAUCUGUGUGCCACUUUUCAGCUUUGACCUCGAAUCAGGUGGGACUACCCGCUGAACUUAAGCAUAUCAUAAGCGGAGGA